UACGUAGGCAGCGAGCGUUGUUCGGAAUUACUGGGCGUAAAGAGUGUGUAGGCGGUGCUCUAAGUUCGGUGUGAAAUCUCUCGCUUAACUGGGAGGGUGCGCCGGAAACUGGAGUGCUCGAACGUGGGAGAGGAAAGCGGAAUUCCUGGUGUAGCGGUGAAAUGCGUAGAGAUCAGGAAGAACACCGGUGGCGAAGGCGCUCUGCUAGGCCGCAACUGACACUGAGGGACGAAAGCUAGGGGAGCGAAUGGG
rnacentral:rRNA from 1 species